CCUACGGGAGGCUGCAGUGAGGAAUAUUGGUCAAUGGGCGAGAGCCUGAACCAGCCAAGUCGCGUGAGGGAGUACUGCCCUAUGGGUUGUAAACCUCUUUUGUCGGGGAGCAAAAGCCGGACGUGUCCGGCUGUGAGAGUACCCGAAGAAAAAGCAUCGGCUAACUCCGUGCCAGCAGCCGCGGUAAUACGGAGGAUGCGAGCGUUAUCCGGAUUUAUUGGGGUUAAAGGGUGCGCAGGCGGAUUUUUAAGUCAGCGGUCAAAUCGUGGGGCUCAACCCCAUCCAGCCGUUGAAACUGGGGAUCUAGAGUGUGCGAGAGGUAUGCGGAAUGCGUGGUGUAGCGGUGAAAUGCAUAGAUAUCACGCAGAACCCCGAUUGCGAAGGCAGCAUACCGGUGCACAACUGACGCUCAGGCACGAAAGCGUGGGUAUCGAACAGGAUUAGAUACCCGGGUAGUC
rnacentral:rRNA from 1 species